CGCGUAGGCGGUUUGGUAAGCGAGGGGUGAAAGCCCACGGCUCAACUGUGGAAUUGCUUCUCGAACUGCCAGACUAGAGGCCGGAGGAGGGCAGCGGAAUUGCCGGUGUAGCGGUGAAAUGCGUAAAUAUCGGCAAGAACGCCAGUGGUGAAGACGGCUGCCUGAGACGGUCCUGACGCUGAGGCGCGAAAGCUGGGGUAGCGAACCGGAUUAGAUACCCGGGUAGUCCCAGCCCUAAACGAUGCGGGCUAGGUGUUGGAGGUGUCGACCCCUCCAGUGCUGCUAAGCUAACGCGUUAAGCCCGCCGCCUGGGGAGUACGGCCGCAAGGCUGAA
rnacentral:rRNA from 1 species